CCAAAGCAGCCAUCAUUUAAAGAAAGCGUAAUAGCUCACUGAUCGAGUCGUCCUGCGCGGAAGAUGUAACGGGGCUAAGCCAGUUACCGAAGCUGCGGAUGUGCAAUUUAUUGCAUGUGGUAGGAGAGCGUUCUGUAAGCCUGUGAAGGUGGCUUGUGAAGGCUGCUGGAGGUAUCAGAAGUGCGAAUGCUGACAUGAGUAGCGUUAAAGGGGGUGAAAAGCCCCCUCGCCGAAAGCGCAAGGUUUCCUACGCAACGUUCAUCGGCGUAGGGUGAGUCGGCCCCUAAGGCGAGGCAGAGAUGCGUAGCUGAUGGGAAACAGGUCAAUAUUCCUGUACCGAUUGCAAGUGCGAUGUGGGGACGGAGAAGGUUAGCUCAGCCAACUGUUGGAUAUGUUGGUUCAAGCGUGUAGUCGUGUCUCUUAGGCAAAUCCGGGAGAAUUAGAUGAGGCGUGAUAACGAGUCUGCUUGCAGACGAAGUGAGUGAUACCCUGCUUCCAAGAAAAGCCACUAAGCUUCAGCUUGUAAUUGACCGUACCGCAAACCGACACUGGUGCGCGAGAUGAGUAUUCUAAGGCGCUUGAGAGAACUCUGGAGAAGGAACUCGGCAAAUUGACACCGUAACUUCGGAAGAAGGUGUGCCUUUAGUAGGUGAACCAUUUACUUGGGGAGCCCAAUGAGGCCGCAGAGAAUCGGUGGCUGCAACUGUUUAUUAAAAACACAGCACUCUGCAAAGACGAAAGUCGACGUAUAGGGUGUGACUCCUGCCCGGUGCUGGAAGAUUAAAUGAUGGGGUGCAAGCUCUUGACUGAAGUCCCAGUAAACGGCGGCCGUAACUAUAACGGUCCUAAGGUAGCGAAAUUCCUUGUCGGGUAAGUUCCGACCUGCACGAAUGGAGUAAUGAUGGCCACACUGUCUCCUCCAGAGACUCAGCGAAGUUGAAAUGUUUGUGAUGAUGCAAUCUCCCCGCGGAAAGACGGAAAGACCCCAUGAACCUUUACUGUAGCUUUACAUUGGACUUUGAACAGAUCUGUGUAGGAUAGGUGGGAGGCUUUGAAGAGUGGACGCUAGUUUGCUUGGAGCCAACGUUGAAAUACCACCCUGGUGUGUUUGAGGUUCUAACCUUGGUCCCUUAUCGGGAUUGGGGACAGUGUAUGGUGGGCAGUUUGACUGGGGCGGUCUCCUCCCAAAGUGUAACGGAGGGGUUCGAAGGUCAA
rnacentral:rRNA from 1 species